rnacentral:rRNA from 1 species
CCUACGGGUGGCAGCAGUGAGGAAUAUUGGUCAAUGGGCGCGAGCCUGAACCAGCCAAGUAGCGUGAAGGAUGACUGCCCUACGGGUUGUAAACUUCUUUUAUAAAGGAAUAAAGUGAGGCACGUGUGACGUUUUGUAUGUACUGUAUGAAUAAGGAUCGGCUAACUCCGUGACAGCAGCCGCGGUAAUACGGAGGAUCCGAGCGUUAUCCGGAUUUAUUGGGUUUAAAGGGUGCGCAGGCGGGCCUUUAAGCCGGCGGUGAAAUCGCGGGGCUCAACCCCGCCGAGCCGUCGGAACUGGGGGCCUUGAGUGCGGCGGAGGCAUGCGGAAUGCGCGGUGUAGCGGUGAAAUGCAUAGAUAUCAGGAGGAACACCGGUGGCGAAGGCGGCCUGCUGGACUGCAACUGACGUUGAGGCCCGAAAGCGUGGGGAGCAAACAGGAUUAGAUACCCCAGUAGUC